CGAUACAGACACACGCCCCCCCCCCCCCAGCCUUUCGUGUGGGCUCGGCGGGCGGGGCGCGAGCGUGCGUGGGAGCAGGGGGGAAAAUCUUUCCAGUGCUACCCCCUCCCUUCCCCCCUGGCAGAAUAGGGAGGGAGGGCGGACCUCGGUAAUUCGGCGAUCGGCCGCGCGGGCUGGGGGCGAGGCUGCGGAAUCCCGAGCCGCGGAUGGCGCGUCGGGGCGGGGGAGGCAGCGCUGCCGGGACACGACGGGGUUAAGCUGGGUCGGCCGCCAUUUUGGAUGGCGGGGAGAGAGAACCAUGCUUUGAAUUAGGAAGAGCUUGUGCAAACAGAAGACAGCAGAACUGAGAUGAGAACAGUCACUACCUAACUUAGAGCCAGUUUCUUGUUCAUAUGAGGUCUCCUAGUGGAAGCAUGUGAGAAAAAAGAGAAAUCGGAACUGAAACCAUGUUUUUGGUGGGGUGAUAGCACUGCAUGAUAGUCAGAGCUGAUAACUGAGCUGAUGCAAAAUGCCUUGAAAGCCUGCUAAAUCCAGCUUGCACUAAGGGCCCAGUUUGGCUUUGCCUUCAUGGACAGCAGCAACCAUCACCUGUCUGCCACGGCAAUAGAUGCCUCUGCUUGCUCCAGAUGUCCUUCUCCUGCAGACCAGAGAACACCUCUUGCUAAAAGGAUCGUUGAAACAGAAGAAUAGAAAUAAUCACUGGACCAUUUAAUGUAACCUUGUGCAUCACGUGGUGCAGGAGUUACUUAAUGAAAUUCCCUGGCCCAAACCAAGCAAAUCUGUGGUAAAUCUAGAGCACAUAUUUUCGGAUGACAGCCAAAAUGAUGAAAGGAAUUUACUACCCAGCCUCGCUAAUCAUUUUGAAUGCUUAACUGGGCUCCCUAAUAUGCUGCUUUGCAAGCAGCAAAACUCCCUACACAUUUCUCCAGCCUUGCCCAGGCUGUGCACCUGAAAAAACCUCCCAGCACCCUGCCAGCCCUGUCCAAGGGCAGGGUGGCCAACUGUGCCUGCUGUGAGUGCUGGAUGGCCAGCUGCCCUCCUCUGGGAAGAGACCUCUGCAGGGCAGAACCUCUGCUGCCUCUCCCUUCAAAGCAUGCCGGUUUGGGACUUGCUCUUUGCUCAGCUUAUUUAAAAAUCUAAAGAAAAGAGUUCUGCCCCAUCAGCUUUGGAAAUAGUUGUUUAACAUGGGAGAGAACAAGCUGAGCCUGCGUAACCCAAGACAACCAAUUCCUUUAGCAGAAAGUGUCUUCUGUCAUCAAAAAGAGCCAUCUGGAAGAGCGUUGGCUCCGUGCCAGGAACAACCCUUUAGCAACUGCUCAACAUACACUUUAAGUUAUAAUGUUCAUAACGGCACAACCUGGAGUGUUGGUAAAGGGCCUAUUGGAGGAGCAACAUAUUCCUCCUCCCGCAGUAACCGCAAAAGGAUGUUCUUCUUAUUCUUUGGCCAGUUAUAAAUGUGGGUGUUCUGCAGCCAGGUAGGCACAUGUUCCUGAAAAAACAAGGAAAAUAAACACUAAAUCCUGUAAAUCCUCCUGAAUCUGUACCAGAACCUUGCAGAUUCUGUCAGGCCCUGCCAAGCAAGAUUUCAUUUUGUCUGUUCUAGGCACCUCCUGUAACAACAAGAAACUUUAAUUUGGCUUCAGAAUUGUAUUUGGGUUCCUAAAUAAAUGAACUUUGUGUGAUCUCACA